CCUCCACCUGCCCAUUUCAAAAAGUACCAAAUAGUUUUUGUGAUAAAAAGAAAAAGGUACGCUUUAAUACCAAACCCGUGGUACAUGUUAUGCACACCUGGAACUAUGCCUAUCGUGCUGCCCGCAAAGGUAACUGGGAAAUGUAUGCCCGGGAUCGGGAGCGUUUCAAAAUGCGCAUUGAACGCCUGACCAAUACACUGAAUCACAUACUGGAGCCAGAACAUCGUCAGAAAAUCUAUGAACAACGAUU